GUUAUAUUAAAGCUUUGUGCUUGGGGGGCGAGGUAAGUGUGCAUGCGUGUGAGUGAGAGAGAGCAGGGGAAACUGGUCUAAUGGGUAUAGUACACUAGGCUGGUAUAGUGGGUAUAGUACACUAGGCUGGUAUAGUGGGUAUAGUACACUAGGCUGGUAUAGUAAACUAGGCUGGUAUAGUGGGUAUAGUAAACUAGGCUGGUCUAGUGGGUAUAGUACACUAGGCUGGUAUAGUGGGUAUAGUACACUAGGCUGGUAUAGUGGGUAUAGUAAACUAGGCUCGUAUAGUGGAUAUAGUACACUAGGCUGGUAUAGUGGGUAUAGUACACUAGGCUGGUAUAGUGGGUAUAGUACACUAGGCUGGUAUAGUAAACUAGGCUGGUAUAGUGGGUAUAGUAAACUAGGCUCGUAUAGUGGGUAUAGUACACUAGGCUGGUAUAGUAAACUAGGCUGGUAUAGUGGGUAUAGUAAACUAGGCUCGUAUAGUGGAUAUAGUACACUAGGCUGGUAUAGUAAACUAGGCUGGUAUAGUGGGUAUAGUAAACUAGGCUCGUAUAGUGGGUAUAGUACACUAGGCUGGUAUAGUAAACUAGGCUGGUAUAGUGGGUAUAGUAAACUAGGCUCGUAUAGUGGAUAUAGUACACUAGGCUGGUAUAGUGGGUAUAGUACACUAGGCUGGUACGGUAAACUAGGCUGGUAUAGUAAACUAGGCUGGUAUAGUGGGUAUAGUACACUGGGCUGGUAUAGUGGGUAUAGUACACUAGGCUGGUAUAAUGGGUAUAGUACACUAGGCUGGUACGGUAAACUAGGCUGGUAUAGUGGGUAUCGUACACUAGGCUGGUAUAGUGGGUAUAGUACACUGGGCUGGUAUAGUAAACUAGGCUGGUAUAGUAAACUAGACUCGUAUAGCACACUAGGCUGGUAUAGUGGUUAUAGUACACUAGGCUGGUAUAGUAAACUAGGCUGGUAUAGUGGGUAUAGUACACUAGGCUGGAAUAGUG
rnacentral:lncRNA from 1 species